UGUGCAAGGGCAAGUAUUACCCCUUGCACACUUCCGUCGCACGUCGCA
rnacentral:ncRNA from 1 species